UACAGAGGUCUCAAGCGUUGUUCGGAUUCAUUGGGCGUAAAGGGUGCGUAGGCGGCGCGGUAAGUCGGGUGUGAAAUCUCGGAGCUUAACUCCGAAACUGCAUUCGAUACUGCCGUGCUUGAGGACUGGAGAGAAGACUGGAAUUUACGGUGUAGCGGUGAAAUGCGUAGAUAUCGUAAGGAAGACCAGUGGCGAAGGCGGCUCACUGGCCCGGUACUGACGCUGAGGCGCGAAAGCGUGGGGAGCAAACAGG
rnacentral:rRNA from 1 species